UACGUAGGGGGCAAGCGUUGUCCGGAAUCAUUGGGCGUAAAGCGCGCGUAGGCGGCCCGGUAAGUCCGUUGUGAAAGUCAAAGGCUCAACCUUUGAACGCCGAUGGAUACUGCCGGGCUAGAGUCCGGAAGAGGCGAGUGGAAUUCCUGGUGUGGCGGUGAAAUGCGCAGAUAUCAGGAGGAACACCUAUUGCGAAGGCAGCUCGCUGGGACGUAACUGACGCUGAGACGCGAAAGCGUGGGGAGCAAAACAGG
rnacentral:rRNA from 1 species